rnacentral:rRNA from 1 species
UACGUAGGGGGCUAGCGUUGUCCGGAAUCAUUGGGCGUAAAGCGCGUGUAGGCGGCCCGGUAAGUCCGCUGUGAAAGUCGGGGGCUCAACCCGUCGAAAGCCGGUGGAUACUGUCGGGCUCGAGUGCGGAAGAGGCGAGUGGAAUUCCGUGGUGUAGCGGUGAAAUGCGCAGAUAGUCAGGAGGAACACCAAUUGCGAAAGCGGCUCACUGGACCACAACUGACGCUGAGGCACGAAAGCUAGGGG